UACGUAGGGUGCAAGCGUUGUCCGGAAUUAUUGGGCGUAAAGAGCUCGUAGGCGGCUUGCCACGUCUGCCGUGAAAACCAGCAGCUUAACUGUUGGCUUGCGGUUGAUACGGGUUGGCUGGAGUUCGGUAGGGGAGACUGGAAUUCCUGGUGUAGCGGUGAAAUGCGCAGAUAUCAGGAGGAACACCGGUGGCGAAGGCGGAUCUCUGGGCCUUACCUGACGCUGAGGCGCGAAAGCUAGGGGAGCGAACAGG
rnacentral:rRNA from 1 species